AUUGAACGCUGGCGGCAGGCCUAACACAUGCAAGUCGAGCGGCAGCGGGAAAGUAGCUUGCUACUUUUGCCGGCGAGCGGCGGACGGGUGAGUAAUGCCUGGGAAAUUGCCCAGUCGAGGGGGAUAACAGUUGGAAACGACUGCUAAUACCGCAUACGCCCUACGGGGGAAAGCAGGGGACAUGCGGGCCUUGCGCGAUUGGAGAUGCGCAGGGGGGAUUAGCUAGUUGGUGAGGUAAUGGCUCACCAAGGCGACGAUCCCUAGCUGGUCUGAGAGGAUGAUCAGCCACACUGGAACUGAGACACGGUCCAGACUCCUACGGGAGGCAGCAGUGGGGAAUAUUGCGCAAUGGGGGAAACCCUGAUGCAGCCAUGCCGCGUGUGUGAAGAAGGCCUUCGGGUUGUAAAGCACUUUCAGCGAGGAGGAAAGGUCAGUAGCUAAUAUCUGCUGACUGUGACGUUACCCGCAGAAGAAGCCCCGGCUAACUUCGUGCCAGCAGCCGCCGUAAGAC
rnacentral:rRNA from 1 species